rnacentral:rRNA from 1 species
CGAAGGAUCAUUACUGAGAGGUUACUAAGACUCUUGGGUUGAGUUUCUUUACUCUUCUCUUGAGUUUCCUCACGGUUUUGUGCAAUGUUGGGUCACCUUGGUUGACUCUGCCCUAAGUUAUUGGGCUGGCCUUUGGGGCCCCUAGUAUGAUUUAUCAUACUAACCCCAGAGGUUAAUUUCUACUAUGUCUAUGAAUUGAUGUAUGAAAAAAGUUAUUUGUUAACUUGAAGGCUUUUGCUGUAAAAAGUGAGUCUUUAAAAACAACUCUUGGCAAUGGAUCUCUUGGUUCUCGCAUCGAUGAAGAGCGUAGCAAAGUGCGAUAAUUAUUGCGACUUGCAUUCAUAGUGAAUCAUCGAGUUCUUGAACGCAUCUUGCGCCUAGUAGUCAAUCUACUAGGCACAGUUGUUUCAGUAUCUGCAUCCACCAAUCAACACGACUUGCUUGUGUUGGAACUGGGCUUACUUUUGAUGGCAUUUAGUUGCUGUCAUGGCCUUAAAUGUAUUUAGUCCUAGGUGUUAACUUGUUAAUGCCGGAUGGAGACUCUAGAGUGCCUUAGAAGCAGCUUGGUUAGUGAGUUCAUAAUUCCAAGUGUUAGUCUUUUAUUGAACUGGGUUUCUAGUCUAUGGGACAUGGAGUCGUAAGACUCUUAAACAACAAACUCACAUUUAGAUCUGAAAUCAACUGAGACCACCCGCUGAACUUAAGCAUAUAAUA